rnacentral:rRNA from 1 species
UCGAAACCUAAUCCGAUAAGGAACAACCCGCGAACUAGUUAUCACACACGCGGUGCGCUGGAGACUCUACCGGUCGUCACGCACGCGAAUCCGUGGGAUCUCAUUCGCUCAUCGAGUGGUACUCGUAGGUCGUCUGUUAUUCCGCGGAAAUCACCAAACCCCGGCGCGAGUAGCGUCAAGACCAUUCAACGAAACAGCUCGCUCGACACCGCCCAUGGGACUGUAGGUCGUCUGUNAUUCCNCGAAAAUCACCAACCCCCGGCGCNAGUAGGUCAAGACCAUUCAACGAAACAGCUCGCUCCGAGCACCGCCCAUGCGGUGCGUGUUCGGAAUGCGUGGCUGCGAUCAUAAGUCUAAAAAGACUCUCGGCAACGGAUAUCUCGGCUCUCGCAUCGAUGAAGAACGUAGCGAAAUGCGAUACUUGGUGUGAAUUGCAGAAUCCCGUGAACCAUCGAGUCUUUGAACGCAAGUUGCGCCCUAAGCCGUCAGGUCGAGGGCACGCUUGCCUGGGUGUCACGCAUCGUCAUCUCCCAACCCRUCUCGGCUUUCGCCCGGAUGAUCAAGGAGAAGGAGAUUGGUCUCCCGUGUGGUACCGCACGCGGUUGGCCUAAAAUCGAGACACGGGGGCGCGGAGCUUCCCGACGAGCGGUGGUGUCAAGAUGCCUCGUGAACGUCGGGUYGGCUUCCCGUCCCGAUGCGCUCGUUGACCCUGUCAGUGUCGCCUCGGCGGCUCUUCGAACGMGACCCCAGGUCAAGCGGGC